rnacentral:rRNA from 1 species
GAUGAACGCUGGCGGCGUGCCUAAUACAUGCAAGUCGAGCGAAUGGAUUAAGAGCUUGCUCUUAUGAAGUUAGCGGCGGACGGGUGAGUAACACGUGGGUAACCUGCCCAUAAGACUGGGAUAACUCCGGGAAGCUGGGGCUAAUACCGGAUAACAUUUGAACCGCAUGGUUCGAAAUUGAAAGGCGGCUUCGGCUGUCACUUCUGGAUGGACCCGCGUCGCAUGAGCUAGUUGGUGAGGUAACGGCUCACCAAGGCAACGAUGCGUAGCCGAACUUAGAGGGUGAUCGGCCACACUGGGACUGAGACACGGCCCAGACUCCUACGGGAGGCAGCAGUAGGGAAUCUUCCGCAAUGGACGAAAGUCUGACGGAGCAACGCCGCGUGAGUGAUGAAGGCUUUCGGGUCGUAAAACUCUGUUGUUAGGGAAGAACAAGUGCUAGUUGAAUAAGCUGGCACCUUGACGGUACCUAACCAGAAAGCCACGGCUAGCUACGUGCCAGCCGCCGCAGUAA